UUCUCCUCCCCUCUGGAUAAUGAGCUACUAAGACGGAGGAGGUGUCGUCCGUUGUGCUGUGAGCUGUCUCACCCUCCUCUUGAAGUAUCUGAUGGAUGCUCUGGUGUGGAGGUCCCUAGGAGAGAUCGAUGCUCUGGUGGCUCGUUCAUCGACGGCGGUGCUCUUCCGGUUUGAGGGCGACUGGGAGACUGACGGCGGUGGCUGGUAAGCUAUCGGGGCGGAGGUUUGUCUGAUUGUCGAGGAGAGCUCAGCGUCGGCAGAUUUACGGUGAGAUGGCCGUUCUCAGCCGUGUGUUUCUCGUCAGUCUGGCUUUUCCUCGCCGUCUUGGGGGUGUGGCGGUGUGUGCUUUCUCGGACCUGAGCGGUUUUGAGCAGAUCGACGUAUCAAGGGUUUCAGAGGUGGUCUCUGCUUCGCAACCACCGUUCAUGGCCGCAGGACAACUUCGUGGGCGGCACAAUAUGGUUGAAACUGGUGACGGAUCUUCCGCCAGUCUUGGACACACCGGUUAGGCAAACUGACAAAAGUCACAUCUUCUUCUUUUUCUUCCCGUUGAGAGAGACGUCUUUCUCAUUUCUCUUUCAACCUGAUCAUACACAGUCACCGUGUUUGUGUUCUCACUUCUCUCACACUUUGUUCUGACUUAUCUUGUAAUCAAGUCUCGACAGUCAAUCAUGCAACAUAUAGAGAUUAAGUUGGCCUUUAUUGGGUCCAAACUUAAACUGAUUAGGCCUAGAUAGGAAGAUAGCUUGUUCAUCUUAUGUGUCAAAAGUAUCUUAAAGCAAAAUUGAAACAAAGCUUUCAAAGAGAACAGAACAAAAUGUCACGCAUUCAUGAGUUUUCAAAGGGAAAGUUGGCAUUUCAUUGACAUGAUGAGGUGAUCACAGUACAAGAAGAUGAUGAAGCAAGUGCUGAAAACAGAAAGCUGAUUCAAGAAAGUAAAAAAAAAAGGGUUUACGAACGACUAAGUUUCCUUUUUCUGCUCAUCACUGUCAUCAUGCUUGAUAUGACCAGGGAGCUUCUCCUUGAUCUUCUCCAUAAACCCUUUCUCUUUACCAUUUUCAUGAUGAGGCUCAACUUCGGGCUUUCCAUUGUGACCUCCAGGAAUCUUCUCCUUAAUCUUGUCCAUAAACCCUUUCUCCUUCCCAUCCUCAUGAUGCUCAUGCUUGUUGGCUUGGUCAUGAUGACCUCCAGGUGCAGGAAGCUUCUCCUUGAUCUUUUCCAUAAACCCUUUCUCUUUCCCAUCCUCCUGAGGUUCAGGCUUGUUGGCUUGGUCAUGAUGACCUCCAGCUGCAGGAAGCUUCUCCUUCAUCUUCUCCAUAAACCCUUUCUUCUCCCCAUCUUCAUGCUCAUGCUUGUUGGCUUGCUCAUGAGUCCCUUUACCUGCAUGAACUUUUAACAUGAUCUUCUCCGUGACGCCCUUCUUCUCCUCAGUUGUAUAUUGAUGAUCAUCAGAAACAUGAUCUUCAUCCUUGUGACCAAACACCUUCUCCUUCAAUCCUUUCCUCUUCUUCUUUUCCCCAUUUUCAUCCACUUCUUCAUCACUCGACUAGAUACAUAUCAUUUCAUCAAACAACAACUUUUAUUAACAUUUCUCAUAGAAUUCUAAAUACAAAUGUGUAUACAUAUACAUAAGCUUACAGAGCUGCCAGAACGGUGAAGCCUUGCCGCAAGCGAAGGUGUCUCCUCUUCCUUUUUUUCCUUGGUCGCGUCAGUCACAUAGACAUGCUCAUCUUCAGGUUUCUUCUUGAGAAAGUCAAACAUUCCACAACCUUUGGAAGCUGCAUCAUCAGCUUCUUGUUGCUCACUUGAACGAGGAUGAUCUGCCAUCUCUUAAAACAAGUAACUAGCUAACACCAAAAAACUACGUAAACACACACUUUUGAUUGCGAAAAAUACUUUGCUUUGUAAGUUGUGAGGAUUGAUGAGUUACACAGCUCAACCACACUCUAUUUAUAGUGUUUUGAGUUUAUCACCACUCCCUCAACUACUUGUUUUAUGUCUAUUUUUAAUUAUAAGUUAAUUUAAUGAUACUUAGCACUAGUUUCCCGUUAAACCAUAAACAUUGAUCGGAACAAGGUUUUGUGUUUUUUCUUGAAAGGUUAUAAAAACAUAUAGUACAUGUCCAAACACAUUGUGUUUCGCCAACCAAUUAAUGGUCGGUGUGGACGGUCCACGUUAACCAAGAAAGUGAGAAAAAUUACCUCUUUUUUAUAACUUUCAAAAUAUUUAAAAGAUUAUUUAAAAAACAAACAAGGAUUUGAAUGAUGCUAAUUGAAGUGCUUAAAUGGGCCUACUAUGAUAAUGGUGGGCGUACAUAAACAGUGAACAAACUAGUAGAACUUUCGUCUUUUUCUUUUUUUUUGUAAAUCCUUAAUUUUCAUUAAAACCUUAAGUUGGGUUCAAGGUCCAUAAAGCCUGUUUUGCAUAAUGCUUAGCCCUAACAUUUAGAGCUCUGAAAAUAAACGUAAAGGAGAUUGUCUUAAAGGAGGAAGAUAGAAGGUAUAUAUCAUUAAGUGCUCCAAAGUUCUCCAACUUUCUAUCCUUCUUCGUUAGCGCUUUGAUAAGGGUUUGAGAGUCUGAGAAGAUUGCAAUGGAUUCUAAUCCGAUAGAUAGGGCGAAGGUUAUGGCCGAUCGCACAGCCAAGGUCACGAAUUGGGCGAACUUUCGUCUAUAGUCACGAAUUGGGGCUGUUUGUUUUACCAUUUAUCAUCUCCAUCUAAAUAAUUCAUUUGUAUGAUCUAUUCAGAUGAUCCUUUCAGAUUUUUAUGUUGUUUGUUUGUCCAUCUACAUAGCUCAUCUAUAUGAAUCAUCUAAAUGGAUCUUAUGUUUGUUUCUUUAUUUUUAUUUCCAUUCAACUGAGUUUAGUAAACAAAUUACCAAAAUAUCUUUGUGUUGAUUUAAUCAUAUGUUUGAUAUUAAUUUUAACUAUAUUUCAUUUAAUUAUUUAGUUUAAUAUAUAUACAAUAGAAUUAUUUCAAAAUUAACGAGUUUUCUUUUUGCGGUUUGGGCGGGAAAAAAAUAUUUUUCGGUUUUAGCGAGAAAACUCAUUUUUCGGUUUUGACGGGAAAUAAUGAUUUUUCAGAUAUGGUGGGAAAACGAGAUUUUUUAGUUUUGGCGGGAAAAUACAAAUUUUAGAUUUUGGAGAGAAAACACAUUUUUACGAUUUUGGCGGGAAAACACGUUUUUUGCGGUUUUCGAGGGAAACACGUUUUUGCGAUUUUUGCAGGAAAACAAAAUUUUUCGGUUUUGACGAGAAAACGAGAUCUUUCGUUAUUGGCGGGAAAACGCGUUUUUGCGGUUUUGGCGAAAAAAUGCGUUUUUGCGGUUUUGACGGGAAAACGCGUUUUUGCGGUUUUGACAGGAAAACAAGAUUUUUGAUUUUGGCGGGAAAACACGCUUUUCGGUUUUGGCUGGAAAGCAAGAUUUUUCAGUUUUGGCAGGAAAACGACAAUUUUUUGGUUUUGGCGAGAAAACAUUUUAUGUGGUUUUAUAUGUUUUAAUUUAUUCUCUCGUGUCACUGUUUUUUUCCAUGUUUGUCUAUCAAAAUUUGUUUACCAAAUACAUUUAAUUAAGUUUCUAUGUUUAUUCUCGUAAUUGAGUAUCCUUAAAAUAUCCAUUUCUUGAAUAAAAAACGCAAUGAAUUAGUUAAGUGUUAACUCACUUUUGAAUACUAUAUGUUAGGAUCCCGCAUGAAAUUUAUAUCUUCACUAAAAUAUAAUUAUAGGAAUUAAUCCAUUGUCAAUUAAUCUAUGAUAAGUCUAAAUUUAAGAGCAUCCUAUUUAAAGUCAGAACUUUUUUUUUUUUUUUUGUAACUUUUAAAGUCAGAACUUAAUUUUAGCAUAUGUAUGUUGGAUUUUAAAUAUUACACUGAGUUAUGUCAAACUUUCUUAGGCGAAACUAUACAUUUUCCCGUGAAAGCUCGCUACAAAUAGGUCAUAUACAAAUGUAAUUCAAUAUAAUUAUUAAAUUUCCGUUCUAAUUAAUUAUAGGAGUAUCACUUAAGAAAAUAAAUUAACUAUAACAAGUAGUAGAUGUACUAACAUGGAAUUUCUAUUUAAUCCUAAAAAUGUGUUCUUCUAACUCUCUUAUCAAUGAUCAUUACACAAUGGAUUUCUUAAUAACAUAUUACUUGUUCUUCUUCCAAAAUAAUUGGAUGUUGUUUUUUUAAUUUUGCCAAGAAAAAAAAAACAUCUGUUGAGAAUUAACAUCUGUUGAGAAUUAACUCAUGUUACCAAUUAUCUAGCUAUUGUUGAAUAAGUAGGGAUAAAAGAAGGACUGAUUUAUUAUAUAUGUAUUUUCUUCUUGGUGUGAGUCAACGAGAGAGAGAGUAGCUUUAUGUUUUGUGUGAAGAGUAUAAGAGAGUAAGAGAAAGAUAUAAUUAUUAUUGCUCAUCUAACUUUUACAAAAGGGAGAGAAGUACUAUUUAUAGAUGGGUAAAGUCGGUUAAUUCUCACCAACUUGGAAGAAGAAGACAAAAUCACCAAGAGGUGAUGGGUGACUGUUUUUACAGAUGAAAGACAUCUGUUUUCCUUUGGAUAAUCAUUCUUUUUAUAAUUAUCUUUUUAACAGCUAUGUCCUUUUUUGUUAUUUUUAAAUGACCUAAAUAGCAGAUCGAUGCUGCAACUUUGCAAAAAUUUAUCGUUGUUCUUCCAUUUAAUAAUGUUUUCGCUAUGAUAUUGUAGCUCUAUUAUAUUUUCAUGAUUGAAUUAUUUUUAUUUAUAUAUUGCAGUGAUAUAAAGAAUUAACACAAGGGAGAAUUUAGCCACGCGUGCCAACAUGAGCUGUAUGUGUGGGUGGUGAUAGACGCGCGUGCCUCAAUAUCUCACGUGUAAAUAAAGACAACAACAUAUUUCUUAGGUGUUUAAAUAUUUUCUCAUAAAAAUUAAACGUUUGGUAUUUAAAUACCACAUGUUUCAUUCUUGGGUUCACCCCCUAAGGUGAACCUCUAGGUUCACCAACCAAUAGGAUUUCAUUAUUUCAAAUUCGAUAUCUUCUAAAAAAGGAAACAAAAUAUUGUCAAGUUAUAUUAUGUUUUUAAAAUAAAAAGGUAAAAAGAAUAAUAGUUACAAAAAAAAAUAUAUAUUUUUUAAAUAUUGUUAACGUCGUCAGCAAAACACUAAACCCUAAAUCCUAAUCCCUAAACCCUAAAUCCGAAACCCUAAACCCCUGGGUAAAUCCUAAACCCUUGGGUAAAUCCUAAACCUUUGGAUGAAUCAUAAACUCUAAAUCAAAAACACUGAACACAAAAAUCCUAAACCCUUGAAUGUUUUAGUGUUUAGUGUUUUUGAUUUAGUGUUUAUGAUUUAUCCAAGAAUUUAGGGUUUAUCCAAGGGUUUAGGUUUCGAAUUUAGGGAUUAGGAUUUAGGGUUUAGUUUUUUUCUGACGACGUUAAAAAUAUUUUUUGUAAUUACUACAAUUUUUUUUUAAUUUUUAUCAUUUUAUUUUAAAAACAUAAUAUAACUUGACAAUAUUUUGUUUCCUUUUAUAAAAGAUAUCAAAUUUAAAAUAACAUAAUCCUAGGGAGUGAACCCAAGAAUAACUCUUGUUUUUUGGGUAUUUGCAGUAGAUAACGUAAACAAGUUUCCAAAUUAGCUAUAUGGAAAAGCACUAUUCAUUAUCUCAUAAUACCAAGUUUAACCCUACUAGUGAUAUAUAGUUAUCCAAAUUAUAUUUUCUGCAAAAAACCAAACUUUAAGUAACCUUUGUUAUAUACAGUCAAUCGUCUUCACUCCAUUUCAAUCAGAAAGCAAAAACCAGAUUGAAGUUUAGAGAAGAUGAUCUCUUCCCAAUCCAUUGACUCACCUGAUUCAACUUAUUGAUGUCCCUUUCUUUAAUUCUUUCUCAAUUCUCAGCCGUCUCUCUCUCUCUUUCUCUCUGUUUUGAUAUUCACUCAGUUUUUUUUUCUUUUUCGAACAAAUAAUAGCCAAAAACAGAGAAUAUGACCUGGGUUGAGACAAAGACAUCACCGGUUUCUCCUUCUAAAACUCCAAGAAUAUCUGAAAAGUUUGGUUCUUUUCUGGUUCAUCACCAUAAUCCGAUCAUCAUUGCAGUUGGGAAAGAUAUUGCCAUGCGAGGUGGUAUCUUGUCAGCACAAAGAAAAUAGUUGGGGUAAUGUAUCCGGAUCUAUGGUUUGGAGGCGCUCGAUCUAUGGUUCCCACCAGUAAUCAUUGCUGUUCUCCUCCCCUCUGGAUAAUGAGCUACUAAGACGGAGGAGGUGUCGUCCGUUGUGCUGUGAGCUGUCUCACCCUCCUCUUGAAGUAUCUGAUGGAUGCUCUGGUGUGGAGGUCCCUAGGAGAGAUCGAUGCUCUGGUGGCUCGUUCAUCGACGGCGGUGCUCUUCCGGUUUGAGGGCGACUGGGAGACUGACGGCUGUGGCUGGUUAGCUAUCGGGGCGGAGGUUUGUCUGAUUGUCGAGGAGAGCUCAGCGUCGGCAGAUUUACGGUGAGAUGGCCGUUCUCAGCCGUGUGUUUCUCGUCAGUCUGGCUUUUCCUCGCCGUCUUGGGGGUGUGGCGGUGUGUGCUU
rnacentral:lncRNA from 1 species